CCUACGGGAGGCAGCAGUGAGGAAUAUUGGUCAAUGGACGAGAGUCUGAACCAGCCAAGUAGCGUGAAGGAUGACUGCCCUAUGGGUUGUAAACUUCUUUUAUAAGGGAAUAAAACGAGGCACGUGUGCCUUUUUGCAUGUACUUUAUGAAUAAGGAUCGGCUAACUCCGUGCCAGCAGCCGCGGUAAUACGGAGGAUCCGAGCGUUAUCCGGAUUUAUUGGGUUUAAAGGGAGCGUAGAUGGGUUGUUAAGUCAGUUGUGAAAGUUUGCGGCUCAACCGUAAAAUUGCAAUUGAUACUGGCAGUCGUGAGUACAGUUGAGGUAGGCGGAAUUCGUGGUGUAGCGGUGAAAUGCUUAGAUAUCACGAAGAACCCCGAUUGCGAAGGCAGCUUACUAAACUGUGACUGACAUUGAUGCUCGAAAGUGUGGGUAUCAAACAGGAUUAGAUACCCCGGUAGUC
rnacentral:rRNA from 1 species